AUUGAACGCUGGCGGCAGGCCUAACACAUGCAAGUCGAGCGGAGCGGCGGACGGGUGAGUAAUGCCUAGGAAUCUGCCUGGGAGAGGGGGAUAACGUCCGGAAACGGGCGCUAAUACCGCAUGCUAUCAGAUGAGCCUAGGUCGGAUUAGCUAGUUGGUGGGUUAAAGGCCUACCAGGGAGACGAUCCGUAACUGGUCUGAGAGGAUGAUCAGUCAAACGGGACCUGAGACACGUUCCAGCCUCCUACGGGAGGCCUCAGUGGGGACUAUUGGACAAUGGGCGAAAGCCUGAUCCAGACAUGCCGCGUGUGUGAAGAAGUUCUUCGGAUUGUAAAGCACUUUAAGUUGGGAGGCGUUACCAACAGAAUAAGCACCGGCUAACUUCGUGCCAGCAGCCGCGGUAAUUC
rnacentral:rRNA from 1 species